UAGGGAAUCUUCGGCAAUGGACGGAAGUCUGACCGAGCAACGCCGCGUGAGUGAAGAAGGUUUUCGGAUCGUAAAGCUCUGUUGUAAGAGAAGAACGAGUGUGAGAGUGGAAAGUUCACACUGUGACGGUAUCUUACCAGAAAGGGACGGCUAACUACGUGCCAGCAGCCGCGGUAAUACGUAGGUCCCGAGCGUUGUCCGGAUUUAUUGGGCGUAAAGCGAGCGCAGGCGGUUAGAUAAGUCUGAAGUUAAAGGCUGUGGCUUAACCAUAGUACGCUUUGGAAACUGUUUAACUUGAGUGCAAGAGGGGGGAGUGGAAUUCCAUGUGUAGCGGUGAAAUGCGUAGAUAUAUGGAGGAACACCGGUGGCGAAAGCGGCUCUCUGGCUUGUAACUGACGCUGAGGCUCGAAAGCGUGGGGAGCAAACAGGAUUAGAUACCCUGGUAGUCCACGCCGUAAACGAUGAGUGCUAGGUGUUAGACCCUUUCCGGGGUUUAGUGCCGCAGCUAACGCAUUAAGCACUCCGCCUGGGGAGUACGACCGCAAGGUUG
rnacentral:rRNA from 1 species